rnacentral:sRNA from 1 species
AACAUCUUCUUUGCCCCCACCCCGAGUCUCACCUCCCUGUGCCUUCCAUCCCCAGAAAUACCCACCUCGGAAAGACUUGGUCCGAGCUGUGUCCAUCCAGACGGGCUACCUCAUCCAGAGCACAGGGCCCAAGAGCUGCGUCAUCACCUACCUGGCCCAGGUGGACCCCAAAGGCUCCUUACCCAAGUGGGUGGUGAAUAAAUCUUCUCAGUUCCUGGCUCCCAAGGCCAUGAAGAAGAUGUACAAGGCGUGCCUCAAGUACCCCGAGUGGAAACAGAAGCACCUGCCUCACUUCAAGCCGUGGCUGCACCCGGAGCAGAGCCCGUUGCCGAGCCUGGCGCUGUCGGAGCUGUCGGUGCAGCAUGCGGACUCACUGGAGAACAUCGACGAGAGCGCGGUGGCCGAGAGCAGAGAGGAGCGGAUGGGCGGCGCGGGCGGCGAGGGCAGCGACGACGACACCUCGCUCACCUGAGCGCCGCACCGCUUCAGGGACGGAGACAGGACCG